rnacentral:lncRNA from 1 species
AGAAUUUCUUGCUCUGAAGUCGCAGCAGCUAGAGAGGAGCUGAGUGUCGCUGUGAGGAGCUGAGAGCUGAGAGCUGAGAGCAAACGCUUGCACGGUUGAAGGUGAGUUGUCCGAGCAUCACUGCUAGUCGGCUUUUCACCUUUUAUGGCCAGAAGUCCAGGGUGUGGGUGGUUGUGGGUAAUGAGCAUCUGGGGAUAGAAGCAGAAGGAGGAGGCUGGAGCUCAGGGAACAGGAUUUAGCAGCCCUCGACCACCCCUGGUUUCUGCUGACAAUUCACGGCCCUCUCUAAGGCCCCUUGCUCCUAGGUACUGAGUUGGGAGGUGAAGACAGUCUGUGCCCUCGGAGGGUGUGUGAGCUAGCAGAGCCAAAACCCACGGGAGACACUGCAACAGAUCCGGAAGUAGUAGUUGCUAAUAUACACCAGUGCUGAGAUCCAAGUGCUAAAAUGAAGGCAUGGUGGUUCCACGAGGGCAGGUUUCUAUGAAUGUUGGAUCAUAGAGUCCCGGGGUGUCAGAAUGGAGGGGACUUGAUGGAUUCGCAAGGAUAACCUCUUUGUUUCUUUUCCAUUGGGAAAAACAGUAUCAGGGAUGUUCAAUGAUUUACCAAAUUGUUUUCAUUGAUAUUUGUCAUUUGCUUAGGCUGGUACCUGGCAAAUAAGUACAUAUGGUCUCUAUGUUGACUUCCUGGUCUCUUCUGAUUCCCAGUCUGUGUACUUUUCUGAGGCAGCCUCAUGAUGAAGCCUUGACAUCCUGGACUCCAGGCCUCACCACGUUACUCUGGAUUCCACCUCUAGAUAACAUGUAUGGGCUUCCUUAUUUCUGACCAGUAGCUCAAGGAUACUAAAUUGCCUGUGUCAGAAAGCCUGCCCUUUGUUUCAAAAGUACAUGAGGAUGGGAGGCUUAUGGGAGAGUAAGGCUGAGGCCUGAACAGCAGGAAAGAAGCCGGGACCAUUGGUCCUCCAUGCUGCUUCUCAGCCCACGGAUACUUCAAAAACUUCUAUUUUCCAGUUUUCUAUGUGAAGUCCUUUUGUGGCAGAGUGGCCCAAAAGCCAGGACUAGAGGUGUUAGCUUCAUGGUCCCCAUCCAUUGUUGUUACCCCACAGGGGAAGGCAGGGCUACUCUCAGCAAUGACUCAUCCCACUGUCCAGCUGACUUGGUCAGUACUUCCCCAGUGUCCUCUUUGCAUCUCAUUAACCAGUCUACCCUCGAAUUCCUCUUGUUCUGGUUUCCAAGGGGUUUUUCAAAGAGCUGGAGUAGGUUGGAGUUUUCAAGUGGAAUGCAAAUCAGAGAGGCUGAGUGCCUGGCUGGAGAGACAGGAGGGUCCUAGGAGUGGUUGUAAGAGGGGCUCCUUUAAGAGAUAGGAAAGAGUGUGGGGAAGGAGUCUGAGCAGGGAAGGGUGGGCAGGGGGUUGUCAGCUAGCAAGUGUCAGCAGGGUCAAGAAGUCUCACCACCAGAGCAGAUGAGCCUUGUCUCUUCUUUCCACUUCACAUCAAGAGCCAGGAUCCCAUAGAUAUAGAGCACCUGUACAGCUCCUUACACAGGUCUGGGGGGACCAGCAGAAACACUGGGAAUGCCUCAGUGGCACCCCCUCAAACUGGUGUUCUCUAAAUAUAUCUUUAACAUUUAGUUAAUGACAGUGUAAUAAUUCUUAAUGUUCAAAACCAGGGACUUAUUAUGUACUCUUUUUGGAGAUAGGUAUCUUUGAAAAUAUACUUAAACUGGGAGUUCCCUCGUGGUUCAGGGGUUAACGAACCUGACUAGUAUCCAAGAGGACGUGGUUCAACCCUGGCCUCACUCAGUGGAUUAAGGAUCCGGCAUUGCCAUGAGCUGUGGUUGGUAGGUCACAGAAGUGGCUCGGAUCUGAUGUUGCUGUGGCUGUGGCAUAGGCCAGCAGCUGUAGCUCUGAUUCCAUCCUGAGCCUGGGAACCUCCCUAUGCCAUGGGUGAGGCUCAAAAGAG